GCCUCGGUAGCUCAGUAGGUAGAGCGUUGGCCUGAAGAGCCAAGCGUCGUGAGUUCAAUUCUCACCUGGGGCACCA
rnacentral:tRNA from 1 species